rnacentral:rRNA from 1 species
AAGCACCGGCUAACUCCGUGCCAGCAGCCGCGGUAAUACGGAGGGUGCAAGCGUAGUCCGGAAUCAUUGGGUGUAAAGGGUGCGCAGGCGGGCGCCUAAGUCGGAGGUGAAAUCUUGCCGCUUAACGGUAAAAUGGCCCCCGAUACUGGGUGUCUUGAAUCUGACAGAGGUCGGUGGAAUUCGUAGUGUAGCGGUGAAAUGCAUAGAUAUUACGAAGAACACCAGUGGCGAAGGCGGCCGGCUGGGUCAGUAUUGACGCUGAGGCACGAGAGCGUGGGGAGCGAACAGGAUUAGAUACCCUGGUAGUCCACGCUGUAAACGAUGUAUGCUAGUUGUUGGGUUUUCGGAUUCCGUGACGCAAUUA